rnacentral:rRNA from 1 species
GAUGAACGCUGGCGGCGUGCCUAAUACAUGCAAGUCGAGCGAACAGACGAGGAGCUUGCUCCUCUGACGUUAGCGGCGGACGGGUGAGUAACACGUGGAUAACCUACCUAUAAGACUGGGAUAACUUCGGGAAACCGGAGCUAAUACCGGAUAAUAUAUUGAACCGCAUGGUUCAAUAGUGAAAGACGGUUUUGCUGUCACUUAUAGAUGGAUCCGCGCCGCAUUAGCUAGUUGGUAAGGUAACGGCUUACCAAGGCAACGAUGCGUAGCCGACCUGAGAGGGUGAUCGGCCACACGGGAACGGAGACACGGUCCAGACUCCUACGGGAGGCAGCAGUAGGGAAUCUGCCGCAAUGGGCGAAAGCAUGACGGAGCAACGCCGCGUGAGUGAUGAAGGUCUUCGGAUCGUAAAACUCUGUUAUUAGGGAAGAACAAAUGUGUAAGUAACUAUGCACGUCUUGACGGUACCUAAUCAGAAAGCCACGGCUAACUACGUG